rnacentral:rRNA from 1 species
UCGAGAAUUUUUCACAAUGGGCGAAAGCCUGAUGGAGCGACGCCGCGUGGGGGAUGAAGGGCUUCGGUCCGUAAACCCCUGUCAUUUGCGAACAAACCUUUCCACCUAACACGUGGAGAGCUGAUUGUAGCGAAAGAGGAAGGGACGGCUAACUCUGUGCCAGCAGCCGCGGUAAUACAGAGGUCCCAAGCGUUGUUCGGAUUUACUGGGCGUAAAGGGUGCGUAGGUGGCGAGGUAAGUUUGAUGUGAAAUCUCCGAGCUCAACUCGGAAAUGGCAUUGAAUACUAUCCCGCUUGAGGGUCGGAGGGGAGACUGGAAUUCUCGGUGUAGCAGUGAAAUGCGUAGAUAUCGAGAGGAACACCAGUGGCGAAGGCGAGUCUCUGGACGACUCCUGACACUGAGGCACGAAAGCUGGGGGAGCAAACAGGAUUAGAUACCCCCGUAGUCC